CAAACGGCCCUUUUCAGGGCCAUAAAUAAUCCAACAUUGGAAUUUU
rfam:Camponotus floridanus CamFlo_1.0_4.contig1978, whole genome shotgun sequence.